UGUUGCAUUCAAAGUGAAAUGUUAUUCAGUAACUAAGCAGUUCAGUAUUAAAACACAAGGGACUGUUUGUCCUCUGGGGUGACAGUAGUUCAUUCACUGUAAACUAAAACUUUGGGAAAUAUAUUCGAUGUUGCAUUCAAAGUGAAAUGUUAUUCAGUAACUAAGCAGUUCAGUAUUAAAACACAAGGGACUGUUUGUCUUCUGGGGUGACAGUAGUUCAUUCACUGUAAACUAAAACUUUGGGAAAAAUGCUUGAUGUUGCAUUCAAAGUGAAAUGUUAUUCAGUAACUAAGCAGUUCAGUACUAAAACACAGGGGACUGUUUGUCCUCUGGGGUGACAGUAGUUCAUUCACUGUAAACUAAAACUUUGGGAAAUAUUCGAAUCUGACCAAUAUCAUUAUACCAUGCCUGGCUGGAAUUAUAGUGUUCAUUUAUAUACAUGCAUUCUAUACAGAAGCAACAUAAUAUCGAUAAUUAUACCAGCUAGCUACUAAAAUGUUUACAGCACUGCUACUGUCGAUACUUGCAGCAGCUAUACAGGUAAAUUCAGUGGAGUAUUUUGUUGUUCCUGCGGAUCAAAGCAACACAACAUGUCCAACAAACAACUGUCAUACUCUACAAUAUUAUUGCCAGCAAGGAUCCGAGUUACUUUCUAACAAAACAAAUAUGUGUGGGACAUUAUCGCAAGAACAAUACUCCUCCGUAAUCUUCAUGUUGAAGUUAAGAUUAUUAGGGUAACUGGCCAAAACGUUCUGGUUAAAAAUUGCUUCUUUUUAAGGUCAGUAAUAGAAUCAUGCACAGAAGAAACCGGUACGGAACAAAUGAUGUCGUUAAAACUGGUAAAAUCAGCAUUAAUCGAGACAAACAUAAAAAAUAAGUAUCAGUGCAGAGUAUUGAAUGUAAUACUAGUGCAUAGUACUGUUUAUGGAUUUACAGUAUCAAAAAUAACCUUUCUCAACAUCAUUCUAGGGAGCAAUAACACUCUAAAUGUUGAAGCAAAUUACUCAACUAUUGAUGGAGCAUCUGAUCUUUAUAUGUGACAGGCUCUGGGAAAACCAGACUAUUGGAGCAGAAUUUAGUAUUGAGCUACAGCUAAAUUUAUGCCUACAGUAUAAAAUCUCAAAUAAAAUGUUAUUGAUGUAUAAGUAUCUACAGUCCUUCUACUACCUCUCUGUAAAAUCUGAUGCUCUAAAUCCAACUCUUUCCAUCGAAACGCUUCGUCCAAACUUUCGCUAUUACCUUAUUUUUCCUAAUUAAGCAAUCUUUGAGAGCCGUUUUUCUCGAUACUACAUUUUACGGCUUCGAGUUUCCAACGCGCAUAACUCGGGUAUGAAACUAGGUAUGUGAACACUAAGCAUAUCAUUGUGUAGGCAAUGCUCUGCUCUAUCAUUUGGUACAUUAAUCACCAAAAUUUUAGUCUGCUCCAAUAGUCUGGUUUUCCUAGAGCCUGUCACAUAUGUUUGGCAAUCAAAAUAAAUUGAAUAUCAUCAUGACAGGGUGUUCAACUUUUCUUCUUCACGAUGAUGGGAUAUUCAGAAUUUAUGGUCCUGGUGCCUAUAAUUCUAUUAAUAUCCAUUUGAAUAAUGUGACAGCUGACACGAAACUUGCUCAAAGAAAUGGAACAUUUGUUAACUUUAAGCAUAUGAGUUAUAUUCAUUGUUCUACCGUGAUACUUACUAUGACAAACUCAUCCGUUGUUGGAAGAAAGAGGGUGUUCUAUUUCCCAGUAAGCAGUGAUUCUGUCACGGGUACAUACAUUGAUUCCCAAGCUGUUUGCAGAUCACAGUACACUGUGAACAUUACAAACACACUUCUUGAGGAUAAUUUGCAUUGCAUUUAUACAUUAGUGCCGACUCAAAUAAAUGCAGCUGUGAACAUCAACAUUGUAAAUUCAACAUUCAGGGAAAAUAAAUAUGUUGUGAAGAUUGAGAGGACAAGACAAUAUGACGUUUUGUUUGGGAGAGAUGAAAUAACGUCAGUGAUUGUAUUAUUACUGGAGAAAUCAGUGUUCAUCGGCAAUCAGCCUUAUCAGGAUUCAGACGGGAUUGUAAAUGUUGUUGAAAUCAAGGCAUGUAUUAUUAAUGGAUGUACUUUUAUUGAUAACGGAAAAACUGCUAUUGCUUCCGUGUCAAGUAGCAUAGUGUUUCAUGGUAGGAAUGUAUUUAUCAACAACACGGGGGUAAGGGGAGGUGCAAUGGCUUUGCAUUACUCAAGGAUUUACAUGGGCAAUUUCUCUUCACUAUAUUUUGCUAACAAUAGAGCUAACCAAGUAGGUGGUGCCAUAUACGUGGAGGAGAAUACAAAAGCAUCGUACAAAUGCUUUGCAAGAACAGGUUCCAUUAUUCAAAAUCCUUUACAGUUGACAAGAUCCACCAAUUGGACAUUUAUGAGCAAUUAUGCAAGUAAUGGAGGAGACAAUAUAUAUGGGAGUGCACUGCAACGUAGAUGUCAAGAUACAGUUACAACUUCUCUGGUUCGACAAUUUAAAAUAAUCAUUGCAAAUGUCAGUCUUUCCUCUGUGACCUCUAACCCUUCACGAGUGUGUUUGUGUAAUGAGCAUGGUGUUCCCGAAUGUGCAAACAUGGAUUACAUAUACAGACAACUACCACCUCGCUAUGCAGGAGAGCUGUUUACUGUAUCUCUCGUUGUUGUUGGUUAUGAUUUUGGGACAGUUCAAGGAGUUGUAUACACAGUACCCUCAUCUGAAAACAAUUCUAUCGCUGUUGGUCAACGCGUUCAAGAGAUUACAGAUCAUCGAAAGUGCACUGAUCUGAAUAUCACGGUUCAAGCAUCUGAAGAGCAAGCAACAUAUUCUCUUAUACUCACAACUGGGCAAGUAUCUGGUCCUAUUGACAGACUAGAAGUAGAAAAAAUGGUUCAUGAUUAUACCCAGAAGUACAAAAAAUUCAGAACAAUCAAGGACAAACUUUUAGUGGUCCCAGUUAAAUUACAAAUAUUUCUGGAAGCAUGUCCAGCAGGAUUCAACCUCACUAGCUCACCACCGUACAUUUGCUCAUGUCACAAUCAACUAGUAGAGAAAGGGAUCACAUCUUGCAUAAUAAAAAAUCAUACAGGCUUAGUUUAUCGCAGUGGAACUAUUUGGUUGAGUGCCAAUCAUGAUGAAAACUUGACCACUAGUUUCAUCAUUCACAAAUAUUGCCCUCAUAGCUAUUGUAAACAGGACAACAUCUCUGUUGACCUUCGUUCCCCUGACACACAAUGUACCUUUAACCAUUCCGGUGUGCUCUGUGGUGGUUGCUAUGGCAAUCUUAGUCUAGUGUUAGGCACAUCACGAUGCCUUUCCUGCGACAAUAAGCAUGUUUCUCUAUUGAUAGUGUUUAUAGUUGCUGGUUUUGUUCUUGUGGCGUUCAUUAAAAUUCUGGAUUUGACCGUUACCAAGGGAACAAUCAAUGGUCUCUUGUUUUAUGCAAACAUCAUAUGGGCCAACAAAAGUAUCUUGCUUCCUGUAAAUAUAUCUGACAACUCGUAUUCAUUUAUGUCGUUUUUAAAUGUUUUUAUUGCUUGGUUGAACCUUGACCUUGGAAUCGAAACAUGUUUCUUUGUUGGAAUGACAGCGUACUGGAAAACCUGGCUACAAUUCCUCUUCCCACUGUACAUUUGGUCGAUAACAUUAAGUAUUAUUAUUGUUUCUCAUUAUUCAACAAGGGCCAGUAAGUUAUUUGGUAACAAUUCGGUACCUGUACUUGCUACACUCGUUCUCCUCUCCUACACAAAACUGCUACGCACAAUAAUCACUGCUUUUGAAUUCUCUGUCCUUGAGCAUCCCCACGACAUUAGAGUGGUGUGGUCGUUUGAUGGAAAUGUUUCUUACUUUGGAGCACCUCAUUGUAUCAUUUUCCUUGCAGCUUUAUCUACCUUGCUUCUACUUUGGUUUCCAUUUACAUUUGUAAUGCUAACUUACAAGUGCCUCAGACAAAAAUCUAAUUUGAAACUACUGCGUUGGAUAAACAGGUGGCGACCAUUCUUUGAUGCUUUCCUGGGUAAAUUCAAACUAAAGCAUCAGUAUUGGGUCGGUCUCUUGCUAAUGAUUCGAGUCGUUCUCCUAGUGUUAUUUGCUCUAACAUCUGCAGUAAUGCCCAGAAUAAACAUACUGGCUAUCUCAAUUGUUGGUCUAGCAUUAUUCAUCCAUGGUCUACUAUGCGGUACAAUGUACAAAUCACUGCUGCUGUCAAUUCUUGAAGUAUCGUACAUUGCAAACCUUACGUUACUUGCUAUCACAAAGCCCUACUUACAGCCAAACUCUAAAGACGACAUAGCAGUUACCUACACAUCAGUGGGAGUUGUAUUUGUUCAAUUCAUAGCGACCAUUGUAUACCACUUUUACUAUAGAGUAAAAUCCAGUUACAUCACAUAUAAGCGGAGACGUGCUGGAGAAGGCAAUUCACAGAAGACAAUUGACCACUCAACUGCACAACAGCAAUAUAGGGAGCCAUUACUAGACAUUCUUGAUUAGCAAGAUAUUAAUAGUUGAGAACCCAGACUAAUCUGUUGUACUAAUUUCUAGCUAUAGGACAAGUCAGUUUUGGUUUUCAGACAGUCAUUCAAUGCAUUUAAAGCAAUAAAAAUCCAGUGUACAAUGCUAAACUAUUAUGUGACCGACUGGGAGGCAGAGAACUGUACGUAGAUCACACUGCUUUGCUGGGUUGCGUAUAGGCCCAGGCCCCCAAAUCUUGUGGGCAGGGCAAAGACAUCUGCAAGGCAAAGGCAAAGACAUCUGUGUCAUUGGGGAGAAUUUGCCAAAUUGAUGUUUUAAGGCAAGAUUCAUGCUGCUCUGCAGUUGCUAUACAAUAAGGGCAAAGGGGAUUUCUUCAUCUCAAAGACAAAGCUGGAACACCUGCCACCCUAUCAACCGUGAAGGAUGUCCUAAUUUCAAAAUAUCCCGAUGCAGCUAAUUAGAGCAACCUCUUCCAGAUUGUCAUCUAGUCAUAUAUUUGAGUGCAUUAAUACAGCAAAUGGUCCCAUCUCUCCCGUAUCGUGCCGAAUUUGGACAGCAAGUUUCAACCUCUGGAGAACAUCCUGCGCACUAGCUGUUUUCAUCUCCAUGCACCAUUGCCUUCCUCUAUAUCUCUUUCCUUGGCAAUCUGUUGUAGAAAUUACAACAACGGUAACGAAUCGUUAUGAUGAAUUAGAUGAAGUUGUAUGUGAGCUCCUCCCUGACAAACAAACUGUAGUCUAGGUAACGGCCUUAUCAGUCAAGUAGGCUAAAAAUCUGUGUCCUUUGAUGUAAGCUUUGAUGUCUCUUUGUGCAUAUGUAGUUAAAAAAAAAAAAAAAAAGAAACCUUUGACUAGCUAG